GAUGAACGCUGGCGGCGUGCCUAAUACAUGCAAGUCGAGCGAACAGACGAGGAGCUUGCUCCUUUGACGUUAGCGGCGGACCGGUGAGUAACACGUGGGUAACCUACCUAUAAGACUGGGAUAACUUCGGGAAACCGGAGCUAAUACCGGAUAAUAUUUCGAACCGCAUGGUUCGAUAGUGAAAGAUGGCUCUGCUAUCACUUAUAGAUGGACCUGCGCCGUAUUAGCUAGUUGGUAAGGUAACGGCUUACCAAGGCAACGAUACGUAGCCGACCUGAGAGGGUGAUCGGCCACACUGGAACUGAGACACGGUCCAGACUCCUACGGGAGGCAGCAGUAGGGAAUCUUCCGCAAUGGGCGAAAGCCUGACGGAGCAACGCCGCGUGAGUGAUGAAGGUCUUCGGAUCGUAAAACUCUGUUAUUAGGGAAGAACAAACGUGUAAGUAACUGUGCACGUCUUGACGGUACCUAAUCAGAAAGCCACGGCUAACUACGUG
rnacentral:rRNA from 1 species